CAGCCACGCUUCCGCCAAUCUGCCCCAGGGCAGCUGUGACCACAAACGUAGUUUACCACCGCCGAGUGAGAAUGUGUGAGUGAAUGAAUAAAAAUGAUAUAAAUCUUCUUGGAAUCGUCCACUUCCUGUUUGUCAAAGUGGCCUUCUACCUGGACAGGUUUUGUUGGAGCUCAUGGAACAAACAUUUUGGGUAAGUGCACUUUAAUAUGGAUGGAUGACACUGAAUUAGAGUCUGUUUUAAUGAGACUGAGUUAAGAUGUGUAGCUCUGUCAUUAAAUAGGAAAUUAUUUCUCAGAAUUCACAGACAAAAGUCUGAAAUGUUUGCUAGGUUAGCGUCCCACAUGUUCUUUGGCUCAGCUAAAGCUAACUCUCUCCAACCUCUGGAUCUCUUGAGUUGCUUGUUGUUAAAAUAUCUUGCUAGAGGUGCUGAAGCUCAGAAAGUCUGAGAUGUUUGUUCAGAAUAAGCUCAUUCUCAAGUCUUAUCUGAACUGUCCUCUUUUGUUUGAACUUUCCCUGAACUUAGGAGUUAAUGACAGAGCAGCACAUCCAGACUCGGUCUCAUUUAUGUAGAGAUUAAACUUCAGUGUCAUUCAUUGAUGUUAAAGUGCAGUUUUUCAAAUGUUUGUUGCACAUGCUCCCGACCAAACCAGUCCAGGUGGAAGACGAUGUGAAGAGAAAGCUCCAGAGGAUGAAUAUCACACAUUUACGUUGGAAAUAAAUGUCCUUUAAUUAGACAUUGUCAUGCAAAAGUUGGAUUUCCCCUUAAUGAUGUUCAAAUCUUUGUUGAGUGUUUUGUUGAUGUUGGUUUCUAAAUGUUUUUUGACACUCGGCCCCAAAGAUUAAAACCUUUUACGGCUCACAAGCUGCAACAAGUCACACAUUAUCAACUAUCUUUCUGACUAAACUAAGAUAAAAAAGUGAAAAACUGCCUGAUUCCUGCAUCAUGAAUGUAAAUCUUUUUGGUUUUUAUGACAGUAACCUGAAUAUAUUUGGGUUUGACAUUUUAUAAACCAUAACAAGAAAUGAAUUAGUGGAGAAAACAAUCAACUGAUUAAUGGCCAAAGAAAAUGUGUUUUCCAGCAUAUAUGGCUGAAUUACUCCAACAUUACAAGAUACAUACAGUUUUAAUUCAAUUUAUUUAUAUAACGCCAAUUAGAGGUCAAAUUGUCUCAAGACACUUUAUUUUUAUAGUAAGAAAUUUAAACCUCUUGACUAAUCCAAUUUAUAUAUUUAUAUUCUACCCAACAUCCUGGACUAAUGUCAGAAUGUUUUUUCUUCUUUACAAGCUGCUCUGUGUCUUUGUUCAGGUUGAGAGGACUUUGGGUAUUGAGGCUGCAAGAUCCACCAUCAUCAGUGAGGUUCAGUACACCACGGUCAACCACGGAAUGAGCAUCGACCGGCGUCACGUCAUGCUUCUUGCUGAUCUUAUGUCCUAUAAGGACCAGACCUGCUGGGAUCUGUACAGAUGUCUCGAUGAGGGUGGGAGUGGUUUCAGUAAAGGAGAGCUGGAUCAGUCUACAAACACAUUGUUGUAACCAGUGUGGGAAAUCUUUCAGGCAGUCAAGUUAUUUGAAACGUCAUAUGCUCAUCCACACGGAAGAAAUUAGUUUUUCACUGUGAUAUUUCCUCAUGUUUGACAAAGUGGUUAUUAUCUAAACUGUGAAAAAAAAGCCCUCCUUAAACAUUAUUUAAUCUAGUCUCAUUUUCAAAAGAGGCCUGAGAACAACAGACAUUCCAAUAAACUACCCUUAGUUAGUAAAGUGAAACUAAAUCAAUCGUAUUUUUAACUAUUGUAACCAAACCUCCACUGCCAUAUUAGAACAGGAUAUGCUUUUAUUUCUAAAACAUUGCCAAUGAUUUUGACAAAUCAUUCUGUGGUUUUAUUUGAGAAAGUUGUUGCCCCAGCAUUGUCCUACAGGGGGCAGUUGUUUUAAAACUACAUUUGUCUUCCAUGUGUCACCAUUUGCUUGCAUAUUUCAUAAACAUCACAAUCACUAAUUUCCAACUCUAUACUGAUGAUAUUUUCCUGGUUUUCUUAGCUGGCUGGAGAUGAAUUUUUGCAUCCCUACCCUGAUUUUCAUUAUCGAGGCUCGCUUUUUCCCCUAACAUUCUCCCACAACGGGAGUGUUUGACCUUUAAAGUCACGGUUUCUUCUACUGACCGGCACCUUUGUGAUUAAUCCUUGCAGCUCUACUGCAUGAUCUACUGUUUGCUUUACCCCGUUAGUCAUUCUCUACUAACACUGCAGUUUCUGCUGCUGCCGGUUUUCAACAAAUUCCAGGAGAAGAACAUACAUUACUCCCAUUCACGUCUCCCUGUGAUUUACUAUUGAUUUAGCUGAUUUAGCUUUAAAGCACAGCAUGCUCCCCUUCUGUCUUCCGUUAGGCUCUGCUAAGCCUCCUGCUGCUGAAGCUUCUUACCUGAGCAUUGGUUUGGAAAAAUAAGUAAAUAAAGUCCAAGGACUCACCUAUGUGGGCCCCUCAAAAUUUUUCAUUAUCACUCCCUGUUUUACCUCUGCUAUUUUUUUCGUCAUGUUUUUUUAAUGAUUUAUUCAGUGUUAUUGUAUAACUUUGUUUUUCAAAGCGGUGUCAAUGUUUUAAAGCUUUAUACCCAUGGGAGAUGACUUUUAAUGUGUUUUUCAUCCCACCAAACAGAGGUGGGAUAUUUGCAUGCAUUGCACUUAUCAGCCAGGAAUAGAGCUAAAGAUGAAAUAACCCAGGUUUGACUCCUCUCUCAGUAAAAAGUAUUUUUUCUGUACAAACUGUCUCUUAAUGUUAAAUGAAUGCAUUUAACUUGCAUAUGAACUGUUCCAUCAGUCGCUUUGGUUUGACAUCAAACAAACAGUUUAUUGCCAUUUCAAAAUGAAUGCAUCCCUUUCCAUUUGACAAACAAAGGAAGUUUUUCUCUCAGCAAAAUAUAGGCUUUGUUAUAAUAAUAAUAAUAAUAAUAAUAAUAAUAAUAAUAAUAAUAAUAAUGAUCAACCCAAGAGCUGAAUAACAGGUGGAGAAGGAUUUAACAAUGCAGAAAAAUCUACAAAAAGAAACAAAAACAAAAAAACCAAGGAGGACAAGCACAAAUUCUUUGGACUUGCUUGGUAACCAACUACAGAGCAGGUGGUGGGAUAGUAGGCUGAAGCCUGGAGGCUGAAAUCACCAAAAUGUGGGCAGAAAAAAACACAUGCGCUGAAAGCUAUCCCUGUCAGGAGCAGAAAAGUGUUCAUGAUAACUUACAAUACAUAAUUACUCAUAAUUCAAUUCACAAUGUGGCAACAUGUAACAAGAACGUACAGAUGAUAUCCUUUCAUUAUUUAGCAAACACUGGCGGUGAAGGAUAAAAGGCAUAACAUACAAAAGAGUACUAGACAAACAAAGAGUGACAAGUAUUCUGGUGAGAUGAGCCUCGAGCCAGAAGUAGUGUGCAUGAUAACUGUCUUCCAUUCAGUUAAGUGUUGGGUUGAAUAUGAAAAGGCUGUUGUAGGAGUAUGUUUUGUUCAGCUUAUUAAAACUCAUCUUGGUCAAACACACAUCCAGCUCUCAGGCUUUUCUGCCUAUUUCUUGCAUUGUCUUAAUUCCUGAUUCCCUUUGAAUAUAAAGAUAACAGCACGAUCUCUAGGUUUAAACUAAUCUACACCGAUGUCCAGGCAGUAGUCUGUGUUUUUUAGCCAUGCAUUCAAUACGAUUCUAUGGAUUAAAAUGUGGCUCUUUCAGUCGCUCCAUUUUGGUCUUGUCUGAAAUCCCAUUGGAUAGAUUGUCCAGUGAAAUUUUGUAAAAGCAUUUAUGGUUCCCAGAGGAUGAUUCCAAAAAAACUGUGGUGAUUCUUUGUGCCAACAGUAGUUUGGAAAAUUGGCCUCUGAAUGAAAUAAGCUUGGGCAAACCUAAGCUUCCAUGUAGCUCCAUCAUCAAAGCAAAAUGUGAAUUUCUCAAAUACUUGUAUGUUAAGAACUUUGAGUGUUUUGACAAAAAUAUGGCAAAUUAUGAGGACAAAAAUAUUUAAAUCUGAAUACAAACUGGCACUGCAUUGAACCAUCAAAAACAAAUGUAGAAAAUAUAUGAUCUGUCAUUUCUGGGACACGCUAACAACCAUGAGAAAUGUCAGGGUAAGCUUAUUAUCAUGCUGAUGUUAGUAUGUACAGUAGUGAUGAAAAGCUUACAUACACUUGUAAAGACCGUGCAUAUUGUGGCAAUCUUGAAUUUUCAGUGACUGCUAUAGCUCUUAAUUUUCUAUGCUGGAAUGAACGAAGCACGUGUCUUUGUCCCAAAAAACAUUCAUGCAUGUUGGUUCUUGUGGAUGAUUAUCUCCACAUUCUUCAGGAAAACCUCAAAUCAUCAGCCAGAAGGAGUCUUGGAUGGAGUUAAGUGAUCCAACAAGACAAUGACCAAAAACAUGGUAAAGGAAUGGUUAAAUCAGGCAAGAAUUAAGGUUUUAGACUGGUUUUAACUCCUGACUUUAACCCCAUUGAGAACCUGUGGACUGUGCUGAAGAAACAAGUUUUUUCUUCUUUGCAUUUAGCCACACUUUAAUCUGUGAUUAAAACUUUCUACUGUGUCUCUCUGCUUCCUGACUGUUCCACCUGCCUGCAGUCUGAUUGCAGCAAUGAGAAUCAGCUGCCGUAAUUGGCUCACACCAGUCACCUGUUUGCAAUUCCACCUCCCAGCAUAUAAGCCGGCUCUGUCAUUCACUCCCUGCUCCACCACGGACGCGCACAUCCUGCGUCGACUCGUGACCACCAGAGCUUCUUGGACACGACUCUGCCCUCGUGCCCCUGCCGGUUCCUGUAUGGGUUUCCUACCUACCCCUUCAGCUGAGUUUCUUCCCGUGCCCUUCCUCCCUGACUGUUCCACCUGCCUGCAGUCUGAUUGCAGCAAUGAGAAUCAGCUGCCGUAAUUGGCUCACACCAGUCACCUGUUUGCAAUUCCACCUCCCAGCAUAUAAGCCAGCUCUGUCAUUCACUCCCUGCUCCACCGUGGACGCGCACAUCCUGCGUCGACUCGUGACCACCAGAGCUUCUUGGGCACGACUCUGCCCUCGUGCCCCUGCCGGUUCCUGUAUGGGUUUCCUACCUACCCCUUCGGCUGAGUUUCUUCCCGGUCCCUUCCUCCCUGACUGUUCCACCUGCCUGCAGUCUGAUUGCAGCAAUGAGAAUCAGCUGCCGUAAUUGGCUCACACCAGUCACCUGUUUGCAAUUCCACCUCCCAGCAUAUAAGCCGGCUCUGUCAUUCACUCCCUGCUCCACCACGGACGCGCACAUCCUGCGUCGACUCGUGACCACCAGAGCUUCUUGGACACGACGCUGCCCUCGUGCCCCUGCCGGUUCCCGUUUGGGUUUCCUACCUACCCCUUCAGCUGAGUUUCUUCCCGUGACCAUCUGCUACAAAGCAUUACCGGGUAACAAAUACACCUGAUGAAGAUCAGAAAUAUUCAAGCAGAAACCUUCAGCUUCCACGAAGGUGGAAAUCAUUCUGCCAUGAAGACCUAACAACCUUCAAAGACAAUUUGAAAAUGGGCGACACGGACCUUCCUGGAGGAUGUUGCACAAGGAGUUUUGUCAUUGUUGCCGCAUUCUGGUGUCGACUCGACUCGACUCCAUUCCACUCGACUCCAUUUGACUGCAUUGA